rnacentral:rRNA from 1 species
GACGAACGCUGGCGGCGCGCCUAACACAUGCAAGUCGAACGAGCGAGAGAGAGCUUGCUUUCUCGAGCGAGUGGCGAACGGGUGAGUAACGCGUGAGGAACCUGCCUCAAAGAGGGGGACAACAGUUGGAAACGACUGCUAAUACCGCAUAAGCCCACAGGUCGGCAUCGACCAGAGGGAAAAGGAGCAAUCCGCUUUGAGAUGGACUCGCGUUGGAUUAGAUAGUUGGUGAGGUAACGGCUCACCAAGUCGACGAUCCAUAGCCGGACUGAGAGGUUGAACGGCCACAUUGGGACUGAGACACGGCCCAG